CAAUUUUAGAAGGCCUUGAGGAUAGAAAAGAUGACUACAUCUACUCUGAACUCACCUACUAAAGUGCGAAGAAACUGACUGUAUCCUAAUAUAAGAGACUUUCCAGUAAGCUGAUGCUUACGAAGAAACAGGAAAUUCACCUGGCACUUCAGAGUUUCAUCCUAGGCUGGGGCAGAAGGAUCCUGAGUUCAAGGCCAGCUGGCACUACAUAGCAAGACCCUGUCUUAAAACACAAAGAUCAAAAAAGAUUUAACCUGGUCACCGAAAGUGAAUGUAUUUUUCACAUCUGGACACUAUUAUUCCUUUGGCUAACUUGGGCAUCUAAUCUUGUCACCAAAGUAGCCAGGCUUGAUAAGGGUUAAAAAAUACUUCGGUUUUGUGGCCUUCAGCCGUUCUCACUUUCCAACCCAAUUUUAAAUGGAAUUAUCCUGGGGCUGCAGAAGUGGCUCAGCAGCUAAGAGCAGACACUGCUCUCCCAAAGGAUGGGAGUUUGAGCCCAGAGUCUACAUCCCAUAACUCACAGUUGCCAAUAACAUUGUUUCCGAAGGAUCCAUCGCCCUCUUCUGGCACCUGCAGGCACUACACUCAUGUGCACAGACACACCUAAACGCAUAAUUAAGUAAGUUGGGGCUGGAGAGAUGGCUCAGUGGUUAAGAGCACUGACUGCUCUUCCAGAGGUCCUGAGUUCAAUACCCAGCAACCACAUGGUGGCUCACAAACAUCUAUAAUGGGAUCCGAUGCCCUCUUCUGCUGUGUCUGAAGACAGCUAUAGUGUACUUAUGUACAUAAAAUAAAUAAAUCUUUAAAAUAAAUAAAUAAGUCUAUGGGCAUACCACCCUGAACAUGCCCAAGCUCAUCUAGAAGUAAAUAAUAAAAUAAAAAAGUUAAUCUUA
rnacentral:lncRNA from 1 species